AAGAAUACAGUCGUAGAAUUGGCUAUGGUAAUUUCUUCAAUUCCUUGAUCUGGAUACGCGAGAGCAUAAUCUAUCCUAGCCUCCAAGGGUGAUUCUAGGAGUCGAGCAUCAACCUCUAGUUCAGAAAAGGUGAAUGUGAAAAAGAAGAGGAAACAUAAAUGCAAACAGGAAAAGAAAAGAGGCUCGAUUUGUCAAAAAAACAAAAUAAAAUAAAAAAUAAAAAAUGUGCCACUGAACCCAGAAGCCUCUGGCUCUCUCUUAGACUGGUAAGGUUUCUCUCUUGUCAAAGGGACUGAAAUUUGGAAUUUGUAAAAGGACUCGGCCAUGGUUGCGUACAGAAAUUUAUUUUGAUAUCAUUAUUACACCUCUUUACUAUAUAUUGUCAUGUCCUCAUCAAGUUCAAGAGAAAUUUGAAGCUCUGGUCUUUGAAUUUGUCAAGAGACUGGAACUAAAUUAAUGAAGCAGGUAAAGUCUUUGGCAUAGAAAGCCUCCAAUUGACUGCCUCGUUAAGAAGAAUCUCUAGACGAAGCAAGCAAGCAUUUGGAUUAUUCUUUAUUUCUAUCUUUAGGAAAGAAGAAUUUAUCAUCAUAUUUUUUAUGAAAUUUUAAUAUUACCUUAUAGAUGUAUCUGUGUAAUUUAGUAGAUUUGAAUCAUUGAUAGUAAUCUACUACCCAAAAGAAAAAAAAAUAACAUUAAUAGUAAUCUAAAUAAUGUAUCACUAUUAAGGAAGGGACAAAUUACUGAACGUCCUCCAAAUUUUAAAUCAACUAAUGAUUCUAAAGA